AGCGAACGCUGGCGGCAGGCUUAACACAUGCAAGUCGAGCGGGCGUAGCAAUACGUCAGCGGCAGACGGGUGAGUAACGCGUGGGAACAUACCUUUGGUCGGAACAACACAGGGAAACUUGUGCUAAUACCGGAUAAGCCCUUACGGGAAAGAUUUAUCGCCGAAAGAUUGGCCCGCGUCUGAUUAGCUAGUUGGUGAGGUAACGGCUCACCAAGGCGACGAUCAGUAGCNGGUCU
rnacentral:rRNA from 1 species